AAGGACGAAGAAGAAGGUGUAAGCAGCUCGUAAAUGUGAAAAGUUGAUGUUUUCACCACCCAGUGUCUUUAAGACUGUGAUAAAUGCAAUGACCAACGACCAAGGAUUAAUAGAGAAGAAAACUGCAUGACUUUAAAAGAAAACCAGUGAGAUAAAAUCAUAUAAAAUGUAUGAUGAUUCAGGAUGUGGUCAUUUGAGACCUGUUCUGUGGAUGCCCUUAGACAGUGUGUCUACCCAUCACACCAUCUGAUAUCACUUGUUCUGAGCAUAUUUCUCUCUCAAACUUAAACUACAGAGAGCCUGUGGAUAGAGGAUGAAGAGUGACCUUGGACUAAUUUUCUAGGUCAAAGAUCAUAGGUGAUGUGAAGGAAAUACCAGGGAACUGAUGUUGAAAGAAGUACUUAAUGACGCUUAUGAAUGGACUUAAAUGU